rnacentral:rRNA from 1 species
AUCGAAAAGACCUUAUGCUUUUGGAGCGGCCGAUGUCUGAUUAGCUAGUUGGUAGGGUAAUGGCUUACCAAGGCGACGAUCAGUAGUUGGUCUGAGAGGACGACCAGCCACACUGGGACUGAGACACGGCCCAGACUCUACGGGAGGCAGCAGUGGGGAAUUUUGGACAAUGGGCGCAAGCCUGAUCCAGCAAUGCCGCGUGAGUGAAGAAGGCCUUCGGGUUGUAAAGCUCUUUCAGUUGAAAAGAAAAAGCCGUGACUAAUAAUCAUGGUUCAUGACGGUAUCAACAGAAGAAGCACCGGCUAACUACGUGCCAGCAGCCGCGGUAAUACGUAGGGUGCAAGCGUUAAUCGGAAUUACUGGGCGUAAAGGGUGCGCAGGCGGUUCUGUAAGUCAGAUGUGAAAUCCCCGGGCUUAACCUGGGAACUGCGUUUGANNACUACAA